UGCCCUGUUAUGGUGCGGGACGGCGAAAGCCCCCGGAUGUUUACUUAGUAACAUUAGGACGCCUAAAACAGGGCACC
rnacentral:sRNA from 1 species